rnacentral:rRNA from 1 species
AUUGAACGCUGGCGGCAGGCCUAACACAUGCAAGUCGAACGGUAACAGGGAUCAGCUUGCUGAUUCGCUGACGAGUGGCGGACGGGUGAGUAAUGUCUGGGAAACUGCCUGAUGGAGGGGGCUAACUACUGGAAACGGUAGCUAAUACCGCAUAACGUCGCAAAACCAAAGAGGGGGACCUUCGGGCCUCUUGCCAUCGGAUGUGCCCAGAUGGGAUUAGCUAGUAGGUGGGGUAACGGCUCACCUAGGCGACGAUCCCUAGCUGGUCUGAGAGGAUGACCAGCCACACUGGAACUGAGACACGGUCCAAACUCCUACGGGAGGCAGCAGUGGGGAAUAUUGCACAAUGGGCGCAAGCCUGAUGCAGCCAUGCCGCGUGUAUGAAGAAGGCCUUCGGGUUGUAAAGUACUUUCAGCGGGGAGGAAGGGAGUAAAGUUAAUACCUUUGCUCAUUGACGUUACCCGCAGAAGAAGCACCGGCUAACUCCGUG